CCCCGUCGGCGGCCCCGGCGAGCGGCGGUGGUACAGUCCGAGACAGCCCCCGGCUAUAAAUAGCGCCAGGCGCAUGGCUCUUCGGGAGGCGCUGAGAUUCCGGGCCCGGCGGCCGCGGGGAGCGGGUGCCCGUUAGGAACGGGGCUGCUGGCCUCCUCUUUGCCUUUUGGGGGUUCUUUUUGUAAUAGCAGCAGACUAGAAAAAGCGAGUCGGCUUGGAGGGAGUCCGCCCAGCGAUCCGAGUGCGCAUUGAUCAGUGUCGAGAGAAAAAAAGCUACAUAAAUAUAUAUUAUGUGGAUAAAUCUGUAGACAAGA